CAGUCGAGCGCCCCGCAAGGGGAGCGGCAGACGGGUGAGUAACGCGUGGGAAUCUACCCAGCUCUACGGAACAACUCCGGGAAACUGGAGCUAAUACCGUAUACGUCCUUCGGGAGAAAGAUUUAUCGGAGUUGGAUGAGCCCGCGUUGGAUUAGCUAGUUGGUGGGGUAAUGGCCUACCAAGGCGACGAUCCAUAGCUGGUCUGAGAGGAUGAUCAGCCACACUGGGACUGAGACACGGCCCAGACUCCUACGGGAGGCAGCAGUGGGGAAUAUUGGACAAUGGGCGAAAGCCUGAUCCAGCCAUGCCGCGUGAGUGAUGAAGGCCCUAGGGUUGUAAAGCUCUUUCACCGGUGAAGAUAAUGACGGUAACCGGAGAAGAAGCCCCGGCUAACUUCGUGCCAGCAGCCGCG
rnacentral:rRNA from 1 species